AACAGGUUAACGCAGAAGCCUGUAAGGCGGGGAAACACCCGCCGCAAGCUGUCGGCUCUUUAGCCCCGCCCCCAACUCCUGAGGAACUAGGAGGCGUGGCUCGGCCUCACCACACGCGGCUCCAAGGUGUGGGAUUCGCCUAGAGAGGAAAGGUAGGCGCGUGCGCCCGCUUGCUUUAAGUUUGCGGUUAAAAUCCCAUGGAAUGCCGUGAGACGUCUCUCCGGAAGAAACAGGAGGAGGGGUUCAUGCAGGUUUCUUGCUUCCCCCCCAAAAAAAAAGCCAUAGUUUUUUCUCCUGCAUGGACAGCAAGUCAAGCUGUCCCAGAUCAAGGACAAGAAGACUGCCUUCAGGUCCAUUGUUCUUCCUCCACCCAGAAUGACAUCACUUCGAGCCAGAGGAAUUAGAAAACAUCCCAUUUUACCCAGGCGUUUGAUGGCUGAAGCAGACUGCUCCUGGCAAUGUGAAGAUCAAAGGUGGAAGAAUGUUUUAACAGUGUUUUUAGAAUAUUUUAAUUGUUUUUAGAAUGUUUUAACUGUGUUUUAGAAUG